rnacentral:rRNA from 1 species
GGCGGACGGGUGAGUAACGCGUAAGAACUUGCCCUUUAGACUGGGAUAACAGAGGGAAACUUCUGAUAAUACUGGAUAAGUUAGUAUAUCGCAUGAUAUGCAAAUGAAAGCUACGGCACUAAAGGAGAGCUUUGCGUCCUAUUAGCUAGUUGGUAAGGUAAGAGCUUACCAAGGCGAUGAUAGGUAGCCGGCCUGAGAGGGUGGACGGCCACAAGGGGACUGAGAUACGGCCCUUACUCCUACGGGAGGCAGCAGC